AGUAUGAUGAAUAUAACUUAGCAACUGCUGCAGAUUUCAUAACAACAUAGCAGCAUAAAGAUUUAAAAAAAACCACAGAAACUACUUUUUUUAUAGAAAGGUUUUAGAAAACAGAACAUCAUGGCAUUUCAAAAAUUUGUCAGAAAAUGGUGGCCAAUUCUGAUACCUAUUGGAGGAUUGAUGUUUGGGUUUUAUUUGGAUCAUCUGGAAACUCUAAGGAUGACUGACUUUAGAGGAAAAAGCAAGCUUUUUGGCAAAGAAGGAUCCUCAAGUGAAAACCCAUCAUGGCCCUAAACUAGAUUUUUUAAAUACUUAGUUGAUCUAGUUCUCUUAAAUAAAGUAAUUCAUUGUGGUUGUUAGGUUAAAACCAAAAAAUAAAAAGCUUGAAAAUUGAACUUAAGAACAUUGUUUAUAGGGUUAUUCUGAGUAUCCAUAAUAAUUAGUAAAGCCCAAAGAAAAAGAAUUACUGGAAAGAAGUUUGCCUAGUUGUACUGUUGGUACGGAAAAAAAUCAUAAAUUAUUUACACUUAGUAGAGAACUUAGUUGGUAUUUUCUUUUUUUUUUUAAAAGUUAAGGCACAAAUUCAACUUAAAAGUCUGUUUGAUUUUAGUUUCAUACAACUAUAUUAAGAAAGUAUAAAAGUAGCAUUUUAUCAUGAUAAUCUUAUUGUAUAAUUUGAAAUAAGACAAACAAUCCAAUUAGUAGAAAGCUUGUUAAUCUUCAAAUCAAUUGAGAUUAUGCAAAAUCUGUAAACAGUUAGUAAACUUACUGUUUUAGUUAGCUAGAGUUUCUUUGGGAGAAAAAAUGUACAGAUUUUGUAUUUAACUUGAGUUAGUUUCUUUGAAAAACAUAAAUUUUGAUAAAUGUGUUAUAUAAAAAAAAAUUGUGAAAAAGUGAAGAGGUAAAGAUUCAGGGAAGGUAAUAAAAGAAAGAUAGAGAACAAUCUGGAAAACAAUGACUUUGAAAACUAGUGGAAACCAUGACACUACCAUGCAGUAAUAUUCCCACUGAAAUUAAAUUGUUUCAUUAGUUUUUGUGCAAGUAUGAAUUAAUUGUGUCUGGGCAAACUAAUAAAGUUUUUUUCACUGCAAUAUGAAUGGUUAACAUUGUGAUACUGAUAAUUAUUGACUGCAAUUUAAAAAAAAUGUCAUUUGUUUAUAUAUAAGAAUAUAGACUACUCGGAUAAACAAAAAUAGCUUAAGUGCAUUAGUUAAAUAAUAAAAAGAAGUUUUAAUGAGUAUUUGCAUUUAAUAACAAAUUAUCAUCUUUAAUCAUUAUGUGUGAUAUUUUUGGAUGAAACCGAUAACAACUCACAAUAAAAGCAGAUAUGAUCAAGAAAUAAGGGAAGUGUUCUGUAGUAGAUAACUUGACUGUUUUAAGUUGUUGGAAAUAAACAGAUUGGAAACAUUUA
rnacentral:lncRNA from 1 species